rnacentral:rRNA from 1 species
GUAGGUGGCAAGCGUUGUCCGGAUUUACUGGGCGUAAAGGAUGUGUAGGCGGAUACUUAAGUGAGAUGUGAAAGCCCCGGGCUUAACCUGGGGACUGCAUUUCAAACUGGGUAUCUAGAGUGCAGGAGAGGAAAGCGGAAUUCCUAGUGUAGCGGUGAAAUGCGUAGAGAUUAGGAAGAACAUCAGUGGCGAAGGCGGCUUUCUGGACUGUAACUGACGCUGAGGCAUGAAAGCGUGGGGGGAGCAAACAGGAUUAGAUACCCUGGUAGUCCACGCCGUAAACGAUGAGUACUAGGUGUAGGAGGUAUCGACUCCUUCUGUGCCGCAGUUAACACAAUAAGUACUCCGCCUGGAAGUACGGUCGCAAGAUUA